ACCUCGUUAUGUUAUUUGUUAUGUUCUUCUUCAGUUUUAAAAACUACAUCAAUAUGAAUGACUUUUUGUAAAGAACCGAAUUUUGUGAAGCGCGAUGAAUUCCCAACCGAUUGGCUGUUUGCAUGUCAAAGCCAGCACAACGGCUGAACAACUUUAAGGAACAUCUUUUAAUUUUAAGCAAAUUUCAUGCGCGGCUGACCGGUAAUUCCAAGCGCCUUCCAGCUAAAGCAACAACAACACAAGCAUAUACAAAAUCAAAAAUCAUAAAAGUAAAUAAAAAGAGCGGAAAUAUCACCAAGUUGCCUUAGAGUGAAAAAUCCAAAGUGCUUUUUAUACAAUGCGUAUUUAAUUAUGAAAUGUUUAUGAAUGCAACUAAAAAAAAAAAAAAAAUGUGUACGAGUAUAAUUUUUUGAAUCGAUGUCACUAUACUAGUUAGAAAUGAUUUUGUUUCUGCUAACACAGUUAAAUUAUUGUAAUAUAUUUUUUAAGUAAAGAAACAAAAAAAAUAAUUUUUUAAAAGAUUUUUGUUGUGUGAACGUAUUUCACCCGGCGGAUUACAUAGAAAAAAAUUAAAUGACUUCACCUUAACAAAAUCAAAUUUACGAUAACCGCGGGUACUUUAUUUAAGUUAAUUUAUAAGUAAGAGAAUAAGAACAUUAAAUGAACAAAAAUGCAUCUUCAAAAUAAAAUCGCCAAAUGCCUUUAUGUCUAUGUAAGACUCUUCUAAACGGAGCCGA